CACAGUUUGAAGUGUUUUAAUCCUUUCUCCUGAAGACUUUCCAACUGACCUUGACAGAAAACAGGUCAAGUAAAGGUGAACAAUUUCUCCUUGGAACUUUCUUGUUUCCAUUCUUCCAACAGUAUAAGAUGGCCCAAAAUUUGACCUCAACUGAGCAGGAGAUAAUGGAGCUCUUAAUGAUAUUACAAGAGUUCUCCGUGAAAAAGAUAGACAAACUGGAUGUCCAGGAAGUAAAAAGGCUCUUUAGAGAGGAACUUCCAAAUUUUCUAAAG
rnacentral:lncRNA from 1 species